ACUCCUACGGGAGGCAGCAGUGAGGAAUAUUGGUCAAUGGGCGGAAGCCUGAACCAGCCAUCCCGCGUGCAGGAAGACGGCCCUAUGGGUUGUAAACUGCUUUUCCAGGGGGCGAACAGCCUUGACGUGUCAGGGUUUGACGGUACCCUGGGAAUAAGCAUCGGCUAACUCCGUGCCAGCAGCCGCGGUAAUACGGAGGGUGCGAGCGUUAUCCGGAUUUAUUGGGUUUAAAGGGUGCGUAGGCGGACAAAUAAGUCAGUGGUGAAACCCUGCAGCUUAACUGUAGAUGUGCCGUUGAUACUGUUAGUCUUGAGUAUGGUCAAGGUAGGCGGAAUGUGUAAUGUAGCGGUGAAAUGCUUGAUAUUACACAGAACACCGAUUGCGGAGGCAGCUUGCUGGGCCAAUACUGACGCUGAUGCACGAAAGCGUGGGGAUCGAACAGGAUUAGAUACCCUGGUAGUCCACGCCGUAAACGAUGAUCACUCGCUGUUGGCGAUACACAGUCAGCGGCUAAGCAAAAGCAUUAAGUGAUCCACCUGGGGAGUACGGCCGCAAGGCUGAAACUCAAAGGAAUUGACGG
rnacentral:rRNA from 1 species